rnacentral:lncRNA from 1 species
CCACCAACUGCGGAAGUUGACGAAGCGUUUCAAAUAGACGGCGCUAAAAGACGCUUAAUUUUAGAAUCUGUCCGUAAUGUUGACGGCAAUAACGACCCAAACCCAGCUUAGCUGGACAACAGUUAACACGACAUUGUACUAACGCUAGUUAGGAAUUAGCUUAAGGAGCUCCAGAUGUUGUUUCCACAGUGAUGAAACUUUGUUACCAGCUAGCUUGUUUAGCAUGUCGCUUUUCUUCAUUUCUUCCUUUCGAUACGAGUUUAUUGUAUGAACCUGCAUCAGCACAACGAUAUGUCAUCUGCAGAUCACUCACCUAAAGAGGACAGUCUGACACAGACGGCUGCUUCCCUCUGUUUGGAAACCAGAGACUCUUCAAGCAGGCUGAGACUCACUAGUCUGACUCUGGAAGAGCUGAGUGAAGAGCUUGAUCGACGCACCAAAGAAAUCCAAAGAUUACAAGAAGAGGUGGAAAAUGUAACCAAAGUGGCAUUGCAGAGGAUCGGAUGCACGUCUGACAGUCCGCCUGGACAGAGCUCUCUCGGUCAUGGCGUCCUUCCUUCAUUUCAGCAAAGAGAGAUGCGUCCUCUGGUCUUUGUGGAUAAUUUAAACCAGGAGAGUUGUCAAAGAGACAUCAGCUGUCCCUCAAUGCAGGCAAUAGAAAAUGCAAUAGAUGGCUGUCUUCAACAGCUUUCGGACUUACGUCUGAACAAGGUCUUCAUUUUUUUUUCACUAUAAAUCUUACGCAGUCAGCAUUAUGAUGAUUCUGCUAAAUUAUAUUUAUUUCACUUUCUCAAACACAGACUCAAAAUCAACAUGAACAAGAAACAUCAAAUCCCCAAGAAGCUGUUGUAAACUUGCAGGUGCAAAUUCACAACGUUCGGAGGGAAAAGGACUUCCUGUCUGACCUGAGGUGAACACACAGAUGAAGUUUAAACUCUCAUACAUUUAAAAUGAAAAUGGCCCAGGUCCAUUUGAGCAACAGGUCUUUUUAUUCGCAGAUUAAAUGAGU